GGGGUUGUAGCUCAGUGGCAGAGCACUUACCUAGCAUGUGUGAGGCCCUGGGUUCAAUCCUCAGCACCACA
rnacentral:tRNA from 1 species